rnacentral:rRNA from 1 species
UACAGAGGUCCCGAGCGUUGUUCGGAUUCACUGGGCGUAAAGGGUGCGUAGGUGGCAAGGUAAGUUUGAUGUGAAAGCUCAGGGCUUAACCCUGAAAUGGCAUUGAAUACUACUGUGCUGGAGGUUUGGAGGGGGGGACUGGAAUUCUUGGUGUAGCAGUGAAAUGCGUAGAUAUCAAGAGGAACACCAGUGGCGAAGGCGAGUCCCUGGACAACACCUGACACUGAGGCACGAAAGCCAGGGGAGCAAACGGG